rnacentral:rRNA from 1 species
CGGGGUGCAGCAGGCGCGAAACCUUUACAAUGCACGAAAGUGUGAUAGGGGGAUCCAAAGUGCUCAAGUUCUACUUGGGCUUUUGUCAAGAGCAAAUAUCUUGGCGAAUAAGUGGUGGGUAAGACUGGUGCCAGCAGCCGCGGUAACACCAGCGCCACGAGUGGGGUUCAUGUUUAUUUGGUCUAAAGCGUCCGUAGCCGGAUUAGCAAAUCUCUUGUGAAAAUGUUGGGCUUAACCUAACAAAUGGCAGGGGACACUACUAGUCUUGGAACCGGGAGGAGUAUGAGGUAUGCGUGGGGGGGCGGUAAAAUGCUAUAAUCCUUCGUAGACCACCUGUGGCGAAGGCGUCAUGCUAGAACGGAUUCGACGGUGAGGGACGAAAGCUAGGGGAGCGAUCCGGAUUAGAUACCCGAGUAGUCCUAGCAGUAAACGCUGUGAGCAAGGUAUUGCAAAUCCUACGAAGAUUUGCAGUGUCGAAGAGAAGUCGUUAAGCUCACCACCUGGGAAGUACAGUCGCAAGACCGAAACUUAAAGGAAUUGGCGGGGGAGCACGGGGCGGGGGCGGCGGGCCGGGCGCGGGCGCGGGGG